rnacentral:rRNA from 1 species
UACGUAGGGGGCAAGCGUUGUCCGGAAUCAUUGGGCGUAAAGAGCGUGUAGGCGGCCCGGUAAGUCCGCUGUGAAAGUCCAGGGCUCAACCCUGGGAUGCCGGUGGAUACUGUCGGGCUCGAGUCCGGAAGAGGAGUGUGGAAUUCCUGGUGUAGCGGUGAAAUGCGCAGAUAUCAGGAGGAACACCAAUGGCGAAGGCGGCACUCUGGGACGUGACUGACGCUGAGACGCGAAAGCGUGGGGAGCAAACAGG